AGUUUUUAACUCAAGUGGCGGACGGGUGAGUAACACGUAAGAAUUUGCCUUUAGGAGGGGGAUAACAACUGGAAACGGUUGCUAAUACCCCAUAUGCUUUCGAGUGAAAUGGAUUUUUCCGCCUAAAGAGAAGCUUGCGGCUGAUUAGCUUGUUGGUAAGGUAAUGGCUUACCAAGGCGACGAUCAGUAUCUGGUUUGAGAGGACGAUCAGACACACUGGAACUGAGACACGGUCCAG
rnacentral:rRNA from 1 species